rnacentral:rRNA from 1 species
UACCCGCAGCUCAAGUGGUGGUCAUUAUUAUUGGGCCUAAAGCGUCCGUAGCUGGCUUGUUAGAUGCCUGGGUAAAUCGAUGCGCUUAACGUAUCGAAUUCCGGGUAGACCGGCAAGCUCGAGACCGGGAGAGGCGUGAGCUACUCGAGGGGUAGGGUAAAAUCCUGUAAUCCUUCGGGGAGGACCAGUGGCGAAGGCGUCACGCUAGAACGGCUCUGACAGUGAGGGACGAAGCCCUGGGGCGCAAACCGG